UACCAACUGAUCGCCUGUAAGUCUUCUGC
rnacentral:sRNA from 1 species